rnacentral:rRNA from 1 species
UUACUGAGUUUACGCUCUAUAACCCUUUGUGAACAUACCUAUAACUGUUGCUUCGGCGGGCAGGGUCUCCGUGACCCUCCCGGCCUCCCGCCCCCGGGCGGGUCGGCGCCCGCCGGAGGAUAACCAAACUCUGAUUUAACGACGUUUCUUCUGAGUGGUACAAGCAAAUAAUCAAAACUUUUAACAACGGAUCUCUUGGUUCUGGCAUCGAUGAAGAACGCAGCGAAAUGCGAUAAGUAAUGUGAAUUGCAGAAUUCAGUGAAUCAUCGAAUCUUUGAACGCACAUUGCGCCCGCCAGCAUUCUGGCGGGCAUGCCUGUUCGAGCGUCAUUUCAACCCUCAAGCUCUGCUUGGUGUUGGGGCCCUACAGCUGAUGUAGGCCCUCAAAGGUAGUGGCGGACCCUCCCGGAGCCUCCUUUGCGUAGUAACUUUACGUCUCGCACUGGGAUCCGGAGGGACUCUUGCCGUAAAACCCCCCAAUUUUCCAAAGGUUGACCUCGGAUCAGGUAGGAAUACCCGCUGAACUUAAGCAUAUCAAUAAGCG